GGAGCCGUGCCUGAACCAAAGGACCACUUUGAUGGGGUGGUUAAUGAGGGUUAAAAUCCCUCCCGCUCUU
rnacentral:tRNA from 1 species